UUAAAUAAUAUCGGCAAACAAAUCGACAGUUUGUUCAAUUAGUAGAAGAAUAACGGAAAUAUAAAUCAAUACACACGAAAAACACGUCUCCAAUGGCUCGUGUGGCUACAAACCCCGUGGGUCUCCAUAGAUUCCAACCAUGUUUUCGAACAUCUCAAGCUCUUCAUCAAUCUGUUACUGUUAAACCCAAUUUUCAUCUCCAAAACAAGAGCCGAAGAUGGCAAAUCGUUGCUUGCCAAACGACCCCUAAUCCCACUGAAUCCUCCGCGCCGGAUAAAUUGCCUGUUGAUCCAAGCUCAGGCAGCAAUGCGGGCGCCAGCCAAGAGAAGAGUUCUUCACAAGGUUCUGGCUUCCCAGAGCCUCCAAGCAAAGGUCUCAACAAGCAAAUAGCCGUGGUUUCUACUCUUGCAGCAGUGGGACUUUUUUUAUCGUCACGGCUGGAUUUCGGUGUUUCUCUAAAAGACCUAGCAGCUGUUGCAUUACCUUAUGAAGAGGCUCUUUCAAAUGGGAAACCCACCGUUGUAGAGUUUUAUGCUGAUUGGUGUGAAGUAUGUCGGGAAUUAGCGCCAGAUGUUUACAAAGUUGAGCAGCAGUACAAGGAUCGCGUCAAUUUCGUUAUGCUGAAUGUUGACAAUACAAAGUGGGAACAAGAGCUUGACGAGUUUGGUGUUGAGGGUAUUCCACACUUUGCUUUCCUUGACAAAGAUGGAAAUGAAGAGGGCAAUGUGGUGGGCAGGCUUCCGAAAAAGUACCUGCUUGAGAAUGUGGAUGCCCUUUCACGGGGAGAAGCGUCCGUGCCUCAUGCUCGUGUAGUUGGACAGUAUUCAAGCGCAGAAGCGAGAAAGGUGCACCAAGUUGUUGAUCCCAGAAGUCACGGGUAGAUAUGACCUCUUUCAUGGAAUACAAAUCCAUCUGGGUGCCAUGGGAAAUUGAUCUAUAAGGUAACCAACUGAAUAACACUGCGCAUAUAUUAUAAAUUUCCAAACUGUUCUCAAGGUAUCUGAGAGUUCUAGUCACCUAACGUGAAAUCUUUUUCACAUGCUGUGAAUUUUCCCCCCUUUGAAUUUGUAGGAGAGGUAGUUGGUCAGACCAUCUAUGAGUUAAACUGUUUAAAUUGUGCCCAGUGUAAAUAAGGGUUAAACUCAUUUUGAGUCCCCAACUAUAGGGUCCCGGACUUUUGAAACGUUCUAGAACGAGUCCCUGAUUUUCCAAAUUGCCCCAAAUUAGUCCUUUUGUUAUCCAAUUGUCAAAAUAUCAAAUAUUAAAAGGCAUUAGUUUCCUUCUGAACAGUUGUGCCUUAACAUGUAAGCUCACAAUGUUAACUUCUAGUAAAUCACACGCGCUCCUCACGUGCCUUUUUUUGUCAAGAUUUUAACUCUAUCCAAAAGGAUUAAAGAGAUGGAGCAUUCACAUAAACAGUGCUCCAUCUAUCAGCAAUGAUGACAUAUAACAUUGUUCGUGUUGUAACGUUGAAAAGGAAGGGAAAAAACAAAAGAUAUUCGUACAAUUAUUGUUUAUUUUUUUCCCCCCCU